GAUUCAGUCACCUGGCCGGAAUUAGUCAAUGGCCCCAGCUGAACUUGAGGGAACGCUAGGAGCGGCUCGUGGACUGCGAAGCCAGCCCUGUGUUUACCCAGGGUGCGCGGCGUGUCCCAACAAAUCCGCAGGCUCAACUCCACGGGCUUUCUCUGGCCACACGGAGGAGUUUCCAAGGCAUCUGAACUUGACCGGGCCUUCACGUGUUGCGCCCAGCCACCGACUCGCGCUUCCUGCCGGGGCCGAGGCCAGUGGAGUCGAGGGUCCGCGCGCUUUAGGUUUUAGUGCCCCGAGCUAGAAACCAGGUCAGCCCAAGCACCUCUCCGAUCCGCUCGCCGCACAUCCGAUCCGUCUCUCAAAUUGGUCCGCAACCCAGAGCUCUCCUGCAUCCCGGCUGCAAGGUCCUCGGGCACAUCUCCUGUGGCAACUUCGGCAUCACCCGUCUGCUCCCUGGUCUUGCCUCCGAGCUGCAUUUGUACUGUGACACCAUCCACCUAAACGCACGCGUCUGAACCUGUCCCUCUUCCUUUUAGAAAUGUUCAGCAGUGCUCAGGCUCCGCCCCACCUCGGCAUGCUUCAUACAAGGGAAGAAUAGCCCAGAAACUGUUUACAGGUAUUUUAUAUCUCGCUCCUUGUUCACUGCCUUGGGGGGUGUUUUAUGUUUCAGAUCCGCACAGAUCACUUAAAAUUCCAAAUACACGUAUAUGGGGGGCAGCCAGCCUGCUCAAGUCUUUUCCCCACGGCGGGGCACAGUCUGAAAAUUGAUCACCGCCUCAGGCUGCAGACAGACUCUGCUUUGCCCAAAGCCAUCCAGUGAUGGAGCCAGGUGUCAAACUUCCAGACUGUCCGACUCCAAAAUCAGCACAUCCUCCCGGCUACCAGGCUUUCCUGGAAAAGGCAGAAAAGUCCGGAACAAAGUGAACUGUUAGUGGGUGCAGAGAACACCCACUGUGAAUGGAGGGACCCCAGCCGUGAGGAGGGGUCAGGGCUCAGCCUCGGCCCCUCCCUGACCUCCCCGUGGAGGACGGAGGGGAAACGGACUGGACUGUUUCUCAGAUCAGGACAGUUUGCUUUGCUUUGUUUUUCCUUUUUCAAGUGUAUUUAUUUAUUUUGAGAGAGACAGAGACAGUGCAAAUGGGGAAGGGGCAGAGAGAGAGAGAGAGAGAAAGAGAAUCCCAAGCAGGCUCCAUGCGCCCAGUGCAGAGCCCGACGUGGGGCUCGAACCCACAGAACUGCAACAUCAUGAACUGAGCUGAAAUCAAGAGUCGGAUGCUUAACCGACUGGGCUACCCAAACGGCCCCAGGACAGUUUUAUUUUCAAGUGAGCCCAUCUGUUUCUCCCAGGGAAAGAAUCUUAAAAAGUUAUAAUCAUAAAAUCCAUGAAGCUGUGUGUUACCAUCUACUAUUCUUUGUGGAAAGAAUAAAGCUAUACAAAAUUUGGCCCUCCCGGAAAAU
rnacentral:lncRNA from 1 species